AAGCUGCGUAUGAUCUGUCAUUUAAUGAAAAUUAUUUAAAGAAUUCUAACACACAGUUAUCAGUGGGUGGUGGGUGGACCAUUAAGUUAGAUGAUGGUAAAGCUCAAUUCAAGAAAGAUUCCGUGGUACACUUCUGGUCAUAUCAAGGCAAACCGUACGACAAGACCUUUACCAUUCAGAUGAAAUUCAAAGAUUUACCCUCAAGUAAAACGAAACAGAAUCUUCUCACUAACUGCGGCACCAACAAGGACUUGAAUACACCCUCCAUAUUAAUAGAAUUGAACAAGAAUAAUGAACACAAAACGGAGUGUCAUCUUCGUAUUGUUCUAGUCACUGGACCAGACUAUUCAACAUCAGAAUUAUCUCUACCGGUGAAGUCUGGGGAAUACAAUACGUUAACGGUAAACUAUUACAGAGGACAUUUACAAGCCACUAUUGUUUAUCCGGAUGGAGAAGUAAUUUCUGAAGAGAUGGAAUGUUCGGGUUCAAUAUUAACCAGUGCCUAUGAUUUAAGAUUGGGAUCAUGUGAUCAAAAAAAUAAUGGUUUUAUUGGCAUGAUGGAUUGGUUUAAAUAUUAUCCAUGUUCUGUAUAAAACCAAGUACCAAUUCAUAAAGUCAAGUUCAAGUUGGUUUCCUUUGGUGAAAUGUGUGCAAUAUCCACGGGCGUUUUGCUACAGACACGCUUUUCGUACAUAAACGACAGUCGUACACCGAAAAUCUCUAAAAAAAAAUGCUUAAAACCUUUUAUAAGACAUCGCUGAUCAUGCCUGACCGAAUCCUUAUUUAUAUCUGCGUAUGCCUAAAGCUGAAUUAGGACUUAAAGGAGAACAAAGAAGUCUCCUAAUACCCCACUGUGUAGGAAUCAUUAUAUCCAGCUAUAACAAGGGGUAAUUCCAAAGAACAAAUUCGAGAGAUUUAAGUUUGGUACCAAUGAUGAAAGAUGUGGUAGUAUUGAUAACGUCACUAUAACGCAUUCUUUAAUUAAGGGUAGCGCUUGGAAAGGGCCACCUAUAAUAUUUCUACAUGUUGAUCCCAGUAGCUGUCAUUCUCCUUUAAAAUUUCAACUUAAGUUUUUAACACGACCGAUUGGAACCCUGCCACGAAUAUAACGGUUUUAACAGUGUGUGUGUGUGUAUGGCUGAAACAGUUAGCAAUCCUGCUUGAGCAGUAAAGACGGCUUGCAAACAAAUACUUUUUUCUAUGUGUAAACAAUUAAAACUAAACUGUUUUAGUGCCGUUUCCAAAAUUAACAUAUGGUUUUUUUUGGGUUUUUUUUGUUAUAACGGCGGCCUAAAUCAGUGAAGACGGAGUUCAAAUUCAAAUACACAUAUUUUUAUGCUUUUGCAUGCGAGACCAAAUGUUGGAAGAAUGGAAAAUAAAUUAUAAUUUGUUU